GACGAACGCUGGCGGCGUGCUUAACACAUGCAAGUCGAACGGAAAGGCCCUGCUUUUGUGGGGUGCUCGAGUGGCGAACGGGUGAGUAACACGUGAGUAACCUGCCCUUGACUUUGGGAUAACUUCAGGAAACUGGGGCUAAUACCGGAUAGGAGCUCCUGCUGCAUGGUGGGGGUUGGAAAGUUUCGGCGGUUGGGGAUGGACUCGCGGCUUAUCAGCUUGUUGGUGGGGUAGUGGCUUACCAAGGCUUUGACGGGUAGCCGGCCUGAGAGGGUGACCGGCCACAUUGGGACUGAGAUACGGCCCAGACUCCUACGGGAGGCAGCAGUGGGGAAUAUUGCACAAUGGGCGGAAGCCUGAUGAAGGAACGCCGCGUGCGGGAUGACGGCCUUCGGGUUGUAAACCGCUUUCGCCUGUGCCGAAGCGUGAGUGACGGUAAUGGGUAAAGAAGCACCGGCUAACUACGUG
rnacentral:rRNA from 1 species